UACGUAGGGGGCAAGCGUUGUCCGGAUUUAUUGGGCGUAAAGAGCGUGUAGGCGGCCAGGUAGGUCGGUUGUGAAAACUCGAGGCUCAACCUCGAGAUGUCGACCGAAACCAUCUGGCUAGAGUCCGGAAGAGGAGAAUGGAAUUCCCGGUGUAGCGGUGAAAUGCGCAGAUAUCGGGAAGAACACCCGUGGCGAAGGCGAUUCUCUGGGACGGUACUGACGCUGAGACGCGAAAGCGUGGGGAGCGAACAGG
rnacentral:rRNA from 1 species